rnacentral:rRNA from 1 species
GAUGAACGCUGACAGAAUGCUUAACACAUGCAAGUCUACUUGAAUUUGGGUUUUUUAACUUAGAUUUGGGUGGCGGACGGGUGAGUAACGCGUAAAGAACUUGCCUCACAGCUAGGGACAACAUUUGGAAACGAAUGCUAAUACCUGAUAUUAUGAUUAUAAGGCAUCUUAGAAUUAUGAAAGCUAUAUGCGCUGUGAGAGAGCUUUGCGUCCCAUUAGCUAGUUGGAGAGGUAACGGCUCACCAAGGCGAUGAUGGGUAGCCGGCUUGAGAGGGUGAACGGCCACAAGGGGACUGAGACACGGCCCUUACUCCUACGGGAGGCAGCAGUGGGGAAUAUUGGACAAUGGACCAAGAGUCUGAUCCAGCAAUUCUGUGUGCACGAUGACGUUUUUCGGAAUGUAAAGUGCUUUCAGUUGGGAAGAAAAAAAUGACGGUACCAACAGAAGAAGUGACGGCUAAAUACGUG